rnacentral:lncRNA from 1 species
AUCUUUAACAAGCAAAGGCCCUGCCUUUGAUCCUAUGGACAUGAAAACCCUGGUCCUAUUCUGUCUAAGAAGGCCUUUUUCAGUUUUAAAACUGCUUGGUUGUCUCCAAGAGGACACACAGACAGUUACUAACACCUGCACACAAAGACUCAGGCAGAGCCCAUAAGCUCCCGCCAGAGCUGAUCCCGCUCAUCUCCCCAGUCAGUUUAAGGUCAGCAUGGAUCAGACCAAGACUCUUGAGCUUCAUCAGGGCUGUGGCCACCUGCUGCAAGAUUGGUCUUAUGUACUUGAGUGGCAGUGGGCUAAACUUGUUCUGCUUUAGAAAAUCGUACAAGUUCUGCUCCAACAUCUCAAACACGAGGCAGGAGGGGUGGUUCUUCAAGAUCUUAAUGGCCACAAUUUCCUUGGUGCUCCGCUUCCAGCACUUUGCCACCUGUCCAAAUGUCCCUCGGCCUAGGAACUCCAGGACUUCAUAGCUGUUGGUCAUAGAGCAAAGGAUCUCGUGCUGGACCAGCUGGUAAUCCCCUUCUCCGCUGGAACUGCUACUCUUGGUGGUCACAGUGGUGGUCGUGGCAGCAGCACCCACCACGGUUCUGUUCUGCAGCAUGAGAGGGGGAUGUUCUUCUAUGAUCUGCACGCUACCGUUGCUGUCCACUUCCUCACUCUUUCUCUUCAAUCCACAUUUUUGAUAUGGCUCAAGCAAAGAAACGUUGCUCCUGUGAGUCAGGGUCUGGCUGCUUU